AAUGGUAUCUCAUUAGGUUCAUGCCCUAAAGAUUAAAGGUUCAAAUCCUUUUCC
rnacentral:tRNA from 1 species